GACGAACGCUGGCGGCGUGCAUAACACAUGCAAGUCGAGCGAGAGACUUCGGUCUCUAGCGGCGGACGGGUGAGUAACACGUGGGUAACCUGCCUCAUAGAGGGGGAUAGCCUUCCGAAAGGAAGAUUAAUACCGCAUAUACUCUCGAUACCACAUGGUAUUUAGAGGAAAGGAGCAAUCCGCUAUGAGAUGGACCCGCGGCGCAUUAGCUAGUUGGUGAGGUAUGGCCCACCAAGGCGACGAUGCGUAGCCGACCUGAGAGGGUGAACGGCCACAUUGGGACUGAGACACGGUCCAGACUCCUACGGGAGGCAGCAGUGGGGAAUAUUGCACAAUGGGGGAAACCCUGAUGCAGCAACGCCGCGUGAGUGAUGAAGGCCUUCGGGUCGUAAAGCUCUUUGAUCAGGGACGAUAAUGACGGUACCUGAAAAACAAGCCACGGCUAACUACGUGCCAGCAGCCGCCGUAAAAC
rnacentral:rRNA from 1 species